CCAAGUCUGAGGCUUUACCAGGAAAAAUCUGUGGUGAGUUGAAAUGUUCCACAAAAUUUAUAAUAAUAUUAUUAUGGACUUUUAAAACUUUUUAUUUAUUAAGGGUUUUUGUGUGAUAUUGAAGAUAUCUGCAUCAUUUCAUAACAUUUUUUGUCGAGCCUGCAACUUUUGUUGCAGAAAGCUCGACAUAGGGAUAGUGAUCUAUCUUCUUAAAGUUUAUAUUUUAGAAGGUGAAAGACCUGGAUGCUUCAUACUUUGUAUAUAGAUGCCUCAUGUUACGAAGUUUCCGUCAUCACAUGUCCAAUGUCCUUGACCUCAUUUUCAUGGUUCAGUGACCACUUGAAAAAAAAGUUCAUUUUUGUAAUGUUGAAUUCUCUCUUAUUAUAAGUAAUAGGAUAACUAUAUUUGGUAUGUGCGUACCUUGAAGGUUUCAUGGUCAGACAGUUUUCACUUGAACUCUACCUCAUUUCAUGGAUCAUGAACAAGGUUAAUUUUGGUGGUCAAGUCCAUAUCUCAGAUACUAAAGUAAUAGGGCUAGUUAUUUGGUGUAUGGAAGGACUGUAAGGUGUACAUGUCCAACUGGCAGGUGUCAUCUGACCUUGACCUCAUUUUCAUGGUUCAGUGGUUAUAGUUAAUUUUUGUGUUUUGGCUGUUUUUCUCAUAGUUUAUGCAAUAGGUCUACUAUAUUGUUGUAUUGGAAUUUGUAAGGUGUACAUUCUAGCGGGCAGGUGUCAUUGACCUUGACCUCAUUUUCAUGGUUCAGUGGUCAAAGUUAAGUUUUUAAGUUUUGGUCUUUUUAUCUAAUAUUAUAUGCCAAAGGUCAACUAUAUUUGGUGUAUGGAAAAUAUUUAUGAUCUAUUAUGUCAGUGCAGGUUUUAUUUGACAUGACCUCAAUUGCACGGUUCAUUGCACAGUGUUAAGUUUUGUGUUUGGUCUAUUUUUUAACUAUAAGUAAUAGGUCAACUAUAUAUUGUUGUAUGGAAGCUUUGUUAGCUGUACAUGUCUGCCUGGCAUGGUUCAUCUGACCUUGACCUUUUUCAUGGUUCAUUGGUCUUUUUUAGUAUCUUGGUUAAUGUUAAGUUUAUGUGACAGUUGUAAAUCAAGCUUUUAUACUUGGACUAUCAACAUAAAAUCAAUGAUUAGUAAAGAAGGCGAGACAUUUCAGAAUAACUUGUAUUUAAUGAAAAUGUUUUCUACCUUAUGUAUUAAGUCAAUAUUUUGAAGAUAUUAUAUAACAAAUUCAUAAGAAAUGAUACAAGGCAUAAUUAUGUUUCUCUUCUUAAGGUGGUACCUAACACUAACUCUGUAAAAUCAGCAGAACGUUUUAAUGAAGUUGUGUUCAUAUGGGAAUAUUAAGCUUUUCAAUGAUCAAAAUAAGUGUUUGUCAAACUGCUAUAUAACCAGUGUAAUUUUUCUGAUUAAACGGUAGGUUCAAAUUUUUUGAAAUUUUUAUAUUUUUGUCAAAGGGUCAAAGUAAAUACUUUGUCAAAAUUUUAAGAAAAUUAAAAGAGCCAAAUUAAUUUUAGUUAAAGUGUUAGGUACCACCUUAAUUUUAUCUUUUAAACAUUUUUUUUUAUGUCAGGUUGUUGAAAUUACAAUGUUUUCCUGGUGUUGGGAGUAAGACAUGGAUAACUGAUAUUGUUAACAUGUUGGUAGGUAUUAAAGCUUUUAUUUUUAAUAAUUUUAAUAGUAUUUGACAUCAAUAAAUUUUUUGAAGGUUUGAAAUACUAUACAAUAUGAUGAAAUACAAGUUUAUUUUUUGCUAACUUAAUAAAUAUGAAAAUGUAAAUCGGGAAUGUGUUGGAGAGAUAAAUAAAACCUUACAAAGGGUAAAAAACAUAACCAGUAGUUUGAUUUUGAAUACCAAUUAUUUUCUUGCAGAAUUUUGUUUGUUAUCUGAGAACUUUUAAAAAAUUAUUAUGAUGUACAUAUUUUUUGAAAGUUGAGAAUAACUGACCUUGAACUUUGUUUUACAGGUUAGCAUCACAAGUUUCCUUGGGGUUACUUGCUUGGGGAGUUAUUAGAGCUGUUUUAAGGUGAGAAUUUAUUAAUCAACAAACAAUUUAAAUUUAUUUAUUAUACAUGUAUCUAAUUUUAAAUGCCCCUAGAUAUCUAUAUAUCUAUCCUAAAUAUAUGUCAAUGUAAAAUGUUGUACCUUUACUUUAGAAGUGUAUCUAUAUUUACUGAUUUGUCUCCCUUGCCCUGAACAAGAUUAGGCCAGAGACUACAAUUAAGUUCUUUAUAACGUUUUGUCGCAUUAAAAAAAAUUUGCCUAUUCUUUUUGUCUAAUUUUUGGUGUGUGCAAUGUACAGUUCAAGUCCAAAAAUAUAUGCAAUUUUCAGAAAAAUUGCAUGUUUACAUCAUACAAAUUUGGCCAAUACACAUCCAUACCCCUAUAGGCAAGUCAAGAGAUGUUCCGAAAAGUGUAAAUACUACCUUUUUGCACCUGGCCGAAUCACUCUUUCCUUAUCAAAAUCAGUUAAAAUAAAACAUCCAAAAGUUUAUUUCAGCUCUCUUCUUUCAUUUCCACCCCAGAAAAACUAAGAAAUGUAUGAGAAAGGGAAAGAAAAAAAAAUAAAGAAAAAAUACACUAUAAUUAAAGGGAACUAUAUUCAUGGACAACGAAAAGUGGGGUCAUUAAUUGUGGUCUUGGGCCAGAUGUGAAGGGGAGAUAAUCUGAUAUCAAGUAAAACCUAGCUAUCAUAAAAAAGAGAUGAUCAUGUAUGAUAACUGCUUUACAUUCAGUCAUUCAUAUUUUCAUUACAAAUUUCAAAAGAAUUUAUUCCUACUUUUUUAUCAUGGAGAAAAUUUUGUUUGGAUCUCAGUAAGGGUCAAUAAAACAACAAAUAACAAAAUAUUCAUUAAAUUUUACUUUUUAUUAAGUGAACUUACCUGAGCAGCUUCUGCAUUCACUGUGUUAAAUAUUUCCAAUAAUUGCUCAGGUAUUUGAUGUCAAGUCUCAUAAUUGUAAAGUUUGGAAAAUUUAUUUUUGUGUAUUGACAGAUUUCAGUAAAAUGAAGUAGCAAAAAUAAGAAGAGUUUUCACAUUCAUUGAUAUGGUUUUUUUUUAAAUUGAAUUUUAUUAUAUACCCUUAAGAUUAUUUUGAUAAAAUAAUUGAAACUUAACUUUAUUUCUUUUCAGUUGAAAGUGUAACAGUUGCUGCCUUGUAUGGUAAAAUCCUCAGACAAUAAUCCUGCAAACAAUCGGAUGAACUGUUACUAUCUCUAUUGGAACAAUCUGUAGACAGUAGUCUUGUAAGCAGAAUGAGUUUUUAACAAAUUGUAUUUUUAUUGCUGUAUUGAAUUUCAAAUUAUAGAUUUUUUUUUAUUUAUAUUACUUGCAUUCAAUUAUUGUUUUGUGAUUGAUGAAAAAUUAAACUGAAAUUAUUGUUAUUUGAGGGGUCCCAAAGGUAUGCCAUAUGGUUUCUCAAAGUACCCACAAGACGUACAUAGGUUUACAUAUAUUUUUAAGUUAUGUACAUGUAAGCCUUACAAGUGCUUUGUGAAAUGAAUUUUGUCGGUUACAAUCCAAAAUAGUAGGAUUUUGAUGGCCAAACACUAUGAAAAGAGAAUAUGAAACUAGUCCCCUGUUAAAUAUUUUAACUACUAAGUUUUUGACCCCAAAUAAAAAUGUUUGGGUUUUGGGUUGGGUUUUACUCCACUGACUGCCUAAGAGGGGACCAGGCCAGCCCAAGUGAUUCCCUUUAUAAUCAACAAUUUUUUUUCCCACAAAAGGGGGGGGGACCCUCUAAACCGCCUCUGCAAUGGGAAGAUUUGUGUUUUCUGUCUGUUUGUCCAUCAUCAUCUCUCAUCCACGGCUUAUAAACUAUUGGUAGAUUUUCAUUGAAACUUUCAGAUUAUCUUCUGUAACUAAUGGCAGUGUGUAUUUUGUUUUAUUAUAAUGAAAUUUUGGGGUUCCCAAUUGAAAGAAUGGACC
rnacentral:lncRNA from 1 species